rnacentral:lncRNA from 1 species
CCAUUUCAUGUAACCAGGCGGCGGAGACGACGCUGCUUUUUGUUAUUGUAGGUGUUGGCUGGGGCAUGAUAGAUAUAGCUUGGGAUAUUUUCUAAUCAGUGUUUACAAAGAAAUGUUCUCAGCUGUUUUUUGGUGCUAGGUAUUGAACCCAGAGCCUUACUCGUUCUAAGCAACAUGUAUCACAUGAGCUGCACCCUUAGCCCCCAAAGAGAUUUUCUUGAAUCUUAAAAUUAAAUUUAUAAAGUAAGUGGAACAAAUGUCCAUGCAUGUACUUCUAUGCUAUAUUGUGACUAAAGUGACAAGCAGGAAAAAGUAACCAAGGAAAACAUCUGCGGACUGAAUUUAUCUUUGGGUCUUUCCUGAGACUGCAUAGCACAUGACAGCCCAGGAUCGCCUUGGGGACAGCAGAGUUAGUAAGAGCCCUUCUCUUGUGGGAAAGCCUCUGGUGAGCCAGGAGUUCUCUGCCUAUUGACCUCCAUCCCAAGCCUACUUUGCCCUGACUCAGCUAGGCCCAAAUAAGGACUUAGGUAAAGAAUUUGAAUGAAAAAGGGAAGUAUCAAUAAGUAUGAUAAGCACUUCCUUGAAAGGUUUACUACAGGGUUAAAAAUGUCAGUGGACCUGUUAGUUUUAACAACAGUAACGGACUUUGUGAAUCAUUUGGCAGUUCUUCAAAAAAAUUAUACACAUUCAUUUCAUAUGCACACAUCACCACGGGCUUCAUGUUUGGUUCAGCAUAAGACUUCAUUGACGGUUAUAUGUAUGAAACUUCACAGGGACAGUCCCAUCCUGGUUUAACCCAAAGACCCCUGUACUUCAUAUGCAAUAAGGAGACAAGACCUCUGAGUCUAUCUCAUUUGUGGGUGACAUGAAGAUGUUUUUAGUUCAGGGUCACAAACAAAUGCACGUUGCACAACUCGGAGGAUUUGCAUGCCUGAUUAAGGUUCAUGUUUUUAUUCAUUCUGGACCACUUAUCACAGCGCCAGUUUCUAAACCUUUGCCAGGUCUGGGAAGAGAGAUUCCUACGGUCCAAUAAUUCAGACACACAUUUCUUGAAGAUCAAGUACAUCAGUUUCAAGUUACAUCUUUCCACAUUCUCUGAAGGAAAAUCUAUUCCAACAGUUUACUGGAAAAUUCCAAGUAUAUUGUCUUGAAAAAUCAGCAAUCCAGGCUUGAAAGAUAACAGAUGAUGCCCGAUUUUCCUUGGCAUUGACAUUGUGGGUUAAUGUUCCCCUCCCAGCGAAAGGCUUGGAUUCUUCCGAAAACUCCUCGAGGCCCAGUUACGGAAGAAUCUUGCCCAUUUUCAUCUUCUUUUCUUGUGGGCUUGGUGUCUGGCUACCGCAAUAGUCAUCAGGCCUUUAAGUUAUCUUCUUGAACUGAGCGCCUAAAUCGCAGGUCUGGGUUUGACACAGGAAAGAGGAGUUAAUGCAGACACACACUGCCCCAUCUCUAGGAGGGAAAGCCUGGGCCUUAAAGGCCUGGCAGCUUCUUCGUGCCUUCUUUGCCCUGAACUCCCACCACUGGAUGCCAUGAGUAAAUGCUGUCCCAAAAGACUACUGAGCUGGUUUGCUUCCUCCCCAGCAUUCAGUCCCCUACCGGCAUCAGCCCCAGAUUACCCUUAGGAAUGCACCUUCCCCUACUCUUCACCUCUGUGGUCUGUAAGGUGGCCCUGCCCCAUACCUGUAGCUGAGACACGUGAUUCAGACAUGACCAAGGAAAUGGACACAUUUUUACAGCCAUGCCAAUCAGUCAAUCCAUGGAUGAGCACCUUGCCCCAUCACAUCCAGUGAAACCCUGAAAACUCUAGGUCGCCUGCCCUUUUUCAAUAACCUGAACCUGAGAUGGCAUGGGAAGGGUAAAGCUGUUUUGCCAUGAUUAGGAACGACUGUUUGCAGAGGAACUAACAUGGAAACGAACUGAACAGAGAAACAAGGUUGUGGUGACACUGAACGCCUGCCUGCCUUAGGUCAGUCCUAAGGCAAAAAUCAUUCUUGGAUUUUUACUUAAGCUAUUUCGCAUCAGGUUUGCAACUGAAAGACCACUUGGUACACAAGCAGUUCUGAUCCUCUCUGCUUUGGGCUAUAGCCCCAGGAUAAAGCACCACAUUUCCCCCAAAAUAAGACCUAAAUGGAAAAUAACGCCUAGCAUGACUUUUUUUCAGGUUGCUCAUAAUAUAAGCCUUACUCCCAAAAUAAGUCCCGGUUAAGAUCAUCAGCCAGAUGGACACAUUUAAUACGUCCAUUGAAACACAUGAUGGAUGUUUUGAAUUAUAAAAUAAUAUAAAUAGUAUUAUUGACAUUAAGACUUAAAUGAUAAUAUAAAUUAUAAUUAUUUGUAAAUACCCAAGCAGGUGUGUUUGGAUGAGAGGUAAACGUCUAUGUAAACAGGUGAUUUAUUCCUGAAUGACCAAUCAGAGUACAGACACAACACAUAAUGUGCACACUUGGUAAUGAACAGAUGUGGUUGUGUCUAAUAUGAAUCUUCAUAAUUCAAUUGUCAUGAUUCACUAGGAGCAGGCUACGUGAACACUAAGUGUUCAUUUAAGGACAGCUCCAUUGCUGGACAUGAGGAGUUUGGGACCAAUAUUUCUACAGGAAAUGGAGUUGCAAGAAAUUCAAGCUGGAAUAUCGGGGUUUGGAGAGUUAUGACAAUGUUCUAGAAUUAGACGCACAUGACUAUUUGAAUAAAUGUAGAUUUUUGUACGUGAACAAAUAAAUGGAGAUUAUUGUACAUGAAUACAUGCCCUAUUUAAUUUAAGACCUGGUUGUGUUUUCGGGAAAUACAGUACUGUUUUAUUCUGUCAGUGAGAUACUUACCAGGAGUAGCAUCACAUUCCCCCAAAUGCAGAGGGCCUUGUUGCUACAAAAGGAAAAUAGGGAGCCACAUCACUGGGAAAGAAUGGAGAGUCUGGGUCUUGUUGCAUGGGUCAUACAAUUUGUGAACCUCCCAUUACUUUAAAAUUAGGGGUAACAAGACAAACGCUGUCAUACCCUGAACUAUCAAGUGUGUUUUGUGUUAUUUCCCUCAGUCAUUCCACAGAUACUUACUGAACAUUUAUAAUAUGCCAGGUAAUACAUUAGGACCUGGGUGACAAGGUACAGGCAUGGUCCUUCAC